GCUCCUACGGGGCGCAGCAGUGGGGAAUAUUGCACAAUGGGGGGAACCCUGAUGCAGCGACGCCGCGUGCGGGAUGAAGGCUUUCGGGUUGUAAACCGCUUUCAGCAGGGAAGAUAAUGACGGUACCUGCAGAAGAAGCCCCGGCUAACUACGUGCCAGCAGCCGCGGUAAUACGUAGGGGGCAAGCGUUGUCCGGAUUUACUGGGCGUAAAGGGAGCGUAGGCGGACUUUUAAGUGAGAUGUGAAAUACUCGGGCUCAACUUGAGUGCUGCAUUUCAAACUGGAAGUCUAGAGUGCAGGAGAGG
rnacentral:rRNA from 1 species